GCUGAGAUUUGGUGGUAGUUACAAGACUUCACCCUCAACAUAUUGAAUAGGAUUAUAGAUGAGCUCAUUAUCAACGUAUCAUUGUUCCUGAAAUGGGCAUUAGUGCAGUAUGGAGAAUUGUAGUAUUUAAGAUGGAGACUUUCAUCAAAUGCUCCCUCAGAUGUCUGCCUAGUCUUCCUUCAGGAUUUUAAAUCUUCCGUCCUUCUGGUUAAAGAGGCAUUUAUUUAGAACGGUGAGAAGGAAUCUCUAGAAUCUUGUGUAAAGCAUUGAACUUCUAUGCUUCUGAGAGUCGUGGGGAGUUGUAGCUUGGUUCACUCAUCUCCUGAUAGUGCCUUGUAUGUUCGCUUUUCGUUAAUUGAGUAUUUUUUUCUUGGUAUAGGUUGUGUUCUUUUUUCAGAACGUUGGCUAAUCAGGAAAGCAACCCUUGUAUCAUCCACAGAGCUAGAAGCUUUGGGGUACUCAUCAGAUAUAUGCAACGGAAGCAGCUUCCAGACUUGGUAAACUGAUGAUGGAUGCCCUUAUUUUCAUGCAUAUGGAAUUGAGAAGAUCCUAUGGACCUGAAGAGUGGUUGCCCUCAAUGGAUCUGAUGGGAUAAGCUUGAACUAGGCAGUUAAAGGACAUAGCUUAGUGGAUGGCUGUCAUACGGGAUGGUGAUGUUUGAAUAUUCACUGCUUGUAAACUUGAAAAUGUUGGAUGAUCUUUAAUUAUCAAGGCUCGAAAGGUUGCAUAAUAAUCUUGCACAGACUGCCUCCAAGGCUUAGCUCGAGUGGAAGAAGGUGGUGUCGCAGGUUUGAGCCCCACACCAUGCAAAGGGAAGCCCCGAAUUUAAGUGGAGAGGUGUAGAGGGCGGGCCUAUUAUCCACUGAGUUUAGAAGGCUAUGAUUGGUCCAAAGAGCGGGUCACAGGCGGAUUUUUCGGUUAUAAAAGAAAAGAAUCUUGCAGAGACUUUCAAAAACUCCAGAUGUUUUGAUGACUGGGUGGGUAUGCUAUAGUUUGAAAAAUUCAUUUUUCUGUAGUUUUGCCAAUACUCAACAUCUUUGUCUAGUAGUUUAGAUUAUUGGAUUUCUUCUUCUUCACACGCAUCUGCAUGUUUGCUGUGAUAGCUCACCAAUAGGGAUGGUACUAUUUUCUUGAAUGACGAGCUCUUGGAGAUGAAGUGCAUUCUCCAAAUUUCUUAGCACCUCACCCAUAGACGGAAUGUGCACCAGAUUAUGCUAAGUAUUUCACUGCGUUUCUCCAAACUUGCUGAAGGAAUCUGGUCUUACAUUGCCCAGAAGGUCGGGAUCUAUGAUAUGUUCCAUCUAUCUCUUCUCUUGCAAA